GCCAGAGCGGUGCGGUGGUUUGAGCAUUGGACUACAGCUCUGGAGACCAGGGUUCGAAUCCCUGCUCUGCCA